GACGAACGCUGGCGGCGUGCUUAACACAUGCAAGUCGAACGGAAAGGCCCUGCUUUUGUGGGGUGCUCGAGUGGCGAACGGGUGAGUAACACGUGAGUAACCUGCCCUUGACUUUGGGAUAACUUCAGGAAACUGGGGCUAAUACCGGAUCGGAGCUCCUGCUGCAUGGUGGGGGUUGGAAAGUUUCGGCGGUUGGGGAUGGACUCGCGGCUUAUCAGCUUGUUGGUGGGGUAGUGGCUUACCAAGGCUUUGACGGGUAGCCGGCCUGAGAGGGUGACCGGCCACAUUGGGACUGAGAUACGGCCCAGACUCCUACGGGAGGCAGCAGUGGGAAAUAUUGCACAAUGGGCGGAAGCCUGAUGCAGCAACGCCGCGUGCGGGAUGACGGCCUUCGGGUUGUAAACCGCUUUCGCCUGUGACGAAGCGUGAGUGACGGUAAUGGGUAAAGAAGCACCGGCUAACUACGUG
rnacentral:rRNA from 1 species